GAUGAACGCUGGCGGCGUGCCUAAUACAUGCAAGUCGAGCGAGCGGACGAGAAGCUUGCUUCUCUGAUGUUAGCGGCGGACGGGUGAGUAACACGUGGAUAACCUACCUAUAAGACUGGGAUAACUUCGGGAAACCGUAGCUAAUACCGGAUAAUAUUUUGAACCGCAUGGUUCAAAAGUGAAAGACGGUCUUGCUGUCACUUAUAGAUGGAUCCGCGCUGCAUUAGCUAGUUGGUAAGGUAACGGCUUACCAAGGCAACGAUGCAUAGCCGACCUGAGAGGGUGAUCGGCCACACUGGAACUGAGACACGGUCCAGACUCCUACGGGAGGCAGCAGUAGGGAAUCUUCCGCAAUGGGCGAAAGCCUGACGGAGCAACGCCGCGUGAGUGAUGAAGGUCUUCGGAUCGUAAAACUCUGUUAUUAGGGAAGAACAUAUGUGUAAGUAACUGUGCACAUCUCGACGGUACCUAAUCAGAAAGCCACGGCUAACUACGUG
rnacentral:rRNA from 1 species